rnacentral:lncRNA from 1 species
UCCUUUUUCAUAGAGUUUCGUUGUUUAAUGACAUUGGAUGUUGUCUCUUUGAACAAGCUUAUUAAAUGGUUUUGGCGACCAUGGUUUUUCAUGUACUAGUAAUGCUGAAUGACCUUGACAUCAGCAGAGUAAAUUGCAAAAAACCACCACAAUUGGGUCAAAGUUUUCAAUGCCUCAGAAAAAAACCCACCGGAAAACAUGCAUUUUGAUGGGUGUUUGAUGACAUUUGCACAAAUGUGGUGGUUUUUUGCAAUUUACUCAACAUAUCAGCAAUUUAUUCUAGGCUAUUGAAUAGUUCUAUAUUUCUAUUAUGGAAGGUGCGGUUGCGUGGGCGAGCAAAUGGGAGUCGAGCCCCUGCUGUCCGUGGCGUCCAUGGACAAACGGGAGGUGUCAAAUUUUGCAAUUGUGGUUGGAGAUGCUCUUAGAACUAUCCGAGCAAAUGUCAAAUGAGAUAUUUUGCCCUACUCAUUGGCUAGUGUCCUGGGGAGAAGAAUGAUCACUGCUGCAUGGUCCUUGGGAACUCUUCUUAAGAGCGAAGA